rnacentral:rRNA from 1 species
UACGAAGGGGGCUAGCGUUGUUCGGAAUUACUGGGCGUAAAGCGCGCGUAGGCGGUGAUCUAUGUCAGAGGUGAAAUCCCGGGGCUCAACUCCGGAAUUGCCUUUGAAACGGGAUCGCUAGAGUCCGAGAGAGGAUGGCGGAAUUCCUAGUGUAGAGGUGAAAUUCGUAGAUAUUAGGAAGAACACCGGUGGCGAAGGCGGCCAUCUGGCUCGGU